AUAUGCAUACGAGACUCUUUUGAGACCUCUUAAUUGGAAUGAGUGCACUCGAAAUCCUUUAACCAGGAUCAAUUGGAUUACAAGUCUGGUGCCAGCAGCCGCGGUAAUUCCAGCUCCAA
rnacentral:ncRNA from 1 species